GCUUAACACAUGCAAGUCGAGCGCACCUUCGGGUGAGCGGCGGACGGGUUAGUAACGCGUGGGAACAUACCCUUUGGUACGGAAUAGCCUCUGGAAACGGAGAGUAAUACCGUAUGAGCCCUUCGGGGGAAAGAUUUAUCGCCAAAGGAUUGGCCCGCGUUAGAUUAGGUAGUUGGUGGGGUAAUGGCCUACCAAGCCUACGAUCUAUAGCUGGUUUUAGAGGAUGAUCAGCAACACUGGGACUGAGACACGGCCCAGACUCCUACGGGAGGCAGCAGUGGGGAAUCUUGGACAAUGGGGGCAACCCUGAUCCAGCCAUGCCGCGUGAGUGAUGAAGGCCUUAGGGUCGUAAAGCUCUUUCGCCUGUGAAGAUAAUGACGGUAGCAGGUAAAGAAACCCCGGCUAACUCCGUGCCAGCAGCCGCGGUAAUACGGAGGGGGUUAGCGUUGUUCGGAAUUACUGGGCGUAAAGCGCACGUAGGCGGACUGGAAAGUUGGGGGUGAAAUCCCAGGGCUCAACCCUGGAACUGCCUCCAAAACUAUCAGUCUAGAGUUCGAGAGAGGUGAGUGGAAUUCCGAGUGUAGAGGUGAAAUUCGUAGAUAUUCGGAGGAACACCAGUGGCGAAGGCGGCUCACUGGCUCGAUACUGACGCUGAGGUGCGAAAGUGUGGGGAGCAAACAGGAUUAGAUACCCUGGUAGUCCACACCGUAAACGAUGAAUGCCAGUCGUCGGGUAGCAUGCUAUUCGGUGACACACCUAACGGAUUAAGCAUUCCGCCUGGGGAGUACGGUCGCAAGAUUAAAACUCAAAGGAAUUGACGGG
rnacentral:rRNA from 1 species